rnacentral:rRNA from 1 species
AGGGAAUACUGCAAAAUGGGCGAUAGCCCGAUGCAGCAACGCCGCGUGGGCGAUGAAGGCCUUCGGGUCGUAAAGCCCUUUUUGAGGGGAUGAGGAAGGACAGUACCCUCAGAAUAAGCCUCGGCUAACUACGUGCCAGCAGCCGCGGUAAAACGUAGGAGGCGAGCGUUAUCCGGAUUUACUGGGCGUAAAGCGCGUGCAGGCGGAUUGGAGAGUUGGAUGUGAAAGCUCCCGGCUUAACUGGGAGAGGUCGUUCAAUACUUCCAGUCUUGAGUGCAGUCGAGGGAAGUGGAAUUCCGGGUGUAGUGGUGAAAUGCGUAGAUAUCCGGAGGCACACCAGUGGCGAAAGCGGCUUCCUGGACUGUAACUGACGCUCAGACGCGAAAGCUAGGGUAGCAAACG